rnacentral:snRNA from 1 species
AGAUCUGAGGGUGAUCUGGUUGCUACAUCUGUCACCCACUGAUCACCAGGGGUUGAGUCAGCUGAUCAGGCUAUCUAGAUGGGUAUCCCCUCCUUCCACCAAUGCUCCAUGUGCAUCCCUCUAGAAGCGGCAUGCUCCAUCAAAAAGGAUGACCUUCCCUGAUAGAAAAGGAUCAUUUUGGGGUCAAGGAUAUACAAAUAGUUAUACUCCCCUGGUAAAACCUGCAACAAUCUCUCCGAGUCCAUUUGUAGAAGUACCUAGGGUAGUCAAGCUUCCAAGACUCCAGAUCUUUCUUUAAAAAAAGAAAAAUUAA